rnacentral:rRNA from 1 species
CCUACGGGUGGCAGCAGUCGAGAAUCAUUCACAAUGGGGGAAACCCUGAUGGUGCGACGCCGCGUGGGGGAAUGAAGGUCUUCGGAUUGUAAACCCCUGUCAUGUGGGAGCAAAUUAAAAAGAUAGUACCACAAGAGGAAGAGACGGCUAACUCUGUGCCAGCAGCCGCGGUAAUACAGAGGUCUCAAGCGUUGUUCGGAAUCACUGGGCGUAAAGCGUGCGUAGGCUGUUUCGUAAGUCGUGUGUGAAAGGCGCGGGCUCAACCCGCGGAAGGCACAUGAUACUGCGAGACUAGAGUAAGGGAGGGGGAACCGGAAUUCUCGGUGUAGCAGUGAAAUGCGUAGAUAUCGAGAGGAACACUCGUGGCGAAGGCGGGUUCCUGGACAUUAACUGACGCUGAGGCACGAAGGCCAGGGGAGCGAAAGGGAUUAGAUACCCGAGUAGUC